rnacentral:rRNA from 1 species
AGAGUUGAUCCUGGCUCAGGAUGAACGCUGGCGGCGUGCCUAAUACAUGCAAGUCGAACGAGGUAGCAAUACCGAGUGGCGAACGGGUGAGUAACACGUAGGUAACCUGCCCUUAAGCUUGGGAUACCCAGAGGAAACUUGGCUAAUACCGGAUAACAACAGAGAAGGCAUCUUCUUGCUUGAAAGGCCCCUUCAAGGGUCACUUAAGGAUGGACCUGCGGCGCAUUAGCUAGUUGGUGAGAUAACAGCCCACCAAGGCGAGGAUGCGUAGCCGAACUGAGAGGUUGAUCGGCCACAUUGGAACUGAGACACGGUCCAAACUCCUACGGGAGGCAGCAGUAAGGAGUUUUCGGCAAUGGGGGAAACCCUGACCGAGCAACGCCGCGUGAGCGAUGACGGCCCUAUUGGGUUGUAAAGCUCUGUUGUAAGCCAUGAAUGAUAGCUUUAGGAAAUGAAAGCUAUUUGACGACAGCUUACCAGAAAGCCACGGCUAACUACGUGCCAGCAGCUGC